rnacentral:rRNA from 1 species
UACGUAGGGGGCGAGCGUUGUCCGGAAUUAUUGGGCGUAAAGGGUUCGCAGGCGGUUUUUUAAGUCAGGUGUGAAAGGCAUAGGCUCAACCUGUGUAAGCACUUGAAACUGAAAGACUUGAGUUAAGGAGAGGAAAGUGGAAUUCCUAGUGUAGCGGUGAAAUGCGUAGAUAUUAGGAGGAAUACCAGUGGCGAAGGCGACUUUCUGGACUUAUACUGACGCUGAGGAACGAAAGCGUGGGGAGCAAACAGGAUUAGAUACCCUGGUAGUCCACGCCGUAAACGAUGAGUGCUAGGUGUUGGGGGUCAAACCUCGGUGCCGCAGCUAACGCAUUAAGCACUCCGCCUGGGGAGUACGUACGCAAGUAUGAA